rnacentral:rRNA from 1 species
AAAUUGAAGAGUUUGAUCAUGGCUCAGAUUGAACGCUGGCGGCAGGCCUAACACAUGCAAGUCGAACGGUAACAGGAAGCAGCUUGCUGCUUUGCUGACGAGUGGCGGACGGGUGAGUAAUGUCUGGGGAACUGCCUGAUGGAGGGGGAUAACUACUGGAAACGGUAGCUAAUACCGCAUAACGUCGCAAGACCAAAGAGGGGGACCUUCGGGCCUCUUGCCAUCGGAUGUGCCCAGAUGGGAUUAGCUAGUAGGUGGGGUAAAGGCUCACCUAGGCGACGAUC